AGAGUUUGAUCAUGGCUCAGGAUGAACGCUAGCUACAGGCUUAACACAUGUAAGUCGAGGGGAAACGACAUCGAAAGCUUGCUUUUGAUGGGCGUCGACCGGCGCACGGGUGAGUAACGCGUAUCCAACCUGCCCACCACUUGGGGAUAACCUUGCGAAAGUAAGACUAAUACCCAAUGACGUCUCUAGAAGACAUCUGAAAGAGAUUAAAGAUUUAUCGGUGAUGGAUGGGGAUGCGUCUGAUUAGCUUGUUGGCGGGUAACGGCCACCAAGGCGACGAUCGAGUAGGGGUCUGAGAGGAAGGUCCCCCANAUUGGAACUGAGACACGGUCCAAACUCCUACGGGAGGCA
rnacentral:rRNA from 1 species